ACAGUUUUUCUCCAUUGGUUUGGCUCAUUUCUUGAAACAGAAAUUACAUUCUCAAAACAACAUGGACAAACCUCCAAACCACUUGGCAAUUGUUGACAACAGAAUUGUAUUUCUCAUUGAUUUCAUCACUUUGCAAAUGUCUUAGUACAUCUUUGCAAAUGAUUAAGUACAGGUAGCCUACAAUUAGCACAGUUAGCCUUCAUUAAGCACAAUUUCCAAGUGAAUAGAUCCUGUUGAUCUAAACUGAUUGAUUGAUUCUCAGUCUAAUGGUUGUUCUCUCCAAAACAUGUCAGCAUCAUUUCAUUCUAUGAGUCAUCACAUGCAAAAUAGUCUGUUCAAUUGUCAAAAUAAGUCAAGAACCUAAUACCAUGAAUAUCAUAUAUAAAUCUCUUGCAACAUUUGAUAAAUUGAUUAAUUGACAGUCAGGUGAAACUAGAACUUGACUAACGAAGGAGGAGUUUCACACAUCUCAGAUGACCAAUCAAACAAUAUGUUUAGUUACCCAACAGGUGCUGUCCAUGAUUGUGAAUGCUGCCAGACAUGUAUAUAUAGAGCUUGACCAGGACUAGUACAAUUUCUGAACAUAGAGGCACCUGGCCAAGUAAAUGAACAAGGGCAACUGCCUGGGCGAGGAAGAAGAGGAGGAGGUGUAAGGGUGCGUGGUGGUAGAAUAGGGGGAAGAGGUAAAGGAGCAAGAAGACAUCAUGCUGUUCCAGAUGAAAUUCGGGCCACACUUAUAGACCAUGUUAUCAACUAUCGGCUCACAAUGGCAGAGGCAGGUCGCAAAGUGAAGCCUAAUUGGCCCCGCUCUACAGUCUCCUCCAUCAUCCAAACCUUUCGCAGGUAUGUACUCAGUCAAUGAUGGAAUUAUAUGUUGAAUAGGACCACACACUGUGCAUAAAGCAAGAGAUGUAAUUUACUCAUUUACUCGUGUGUGUGUGUGUGUGUGUGUGUGUUAUAGGCCUACAGUAAUAUCUUACCUCAGUGGAAUGUUAUGACACUAAAAAUGAGAAAUAAACUAUUAAAUUAUUGAUGAUACAGUUCACAGUAGUAUAACAGUGCAGUGAUGCAUUACCAUUGUGGUAAAGUUACUUUAAGCAAAACAACAAUACAAUUAAAUUAGUAACUCAUUCUGCAAGACAUACAUAAGGCUUACAUUACAAAUGGUAAUACAGUGUUGUCCUUUGAAUUGUAUGUCUAGGAUUGGACGACAACCUUGCACGGGUGGCAGAGGAAAACUUCUCAAUGACCAACAAGAACAAAACAUCUGUAACAUGGUGAUGGCAAAUAAUGCCAUCACACUGAGACAGAUCCGCACUGCAAUCAUACAAGACAAUGCCGUAUUCCAAAAUGUCAACUCUAUAAGCAUCAUUGAACAAGCAUCAGAUGACCAUGAAGCAACUUUACAGGGUACCAUUUGAGAGGAACUCUGAUAGCGUGAAAGAGCUACAGUACCAGUAUGUACAUCGAAUAAUUGCAUUGGAAAGAAAUGAGACCCCUCACAUCCUUGUGUUUGUGGAUGAAGCUGGCUUCAACCUGGCCAAGGGCCGAAGACGUGGCCGUAAUAUUAUUGGCCACCGGGCCACGGUGGAUGUCCCAGGCCAGCGUGUGGGCAAUAUAACUGUGUGCUGCCAUUUCUGAGAAUGGUGUGGCCACUCACAUCCCCAGUCUUGGCUCAUACGAUACACAGAAGCUCCUCAUCUUCUUGGACCGCCUUCAUUCUGAUUUGAUCCCUGAAAAUGAGAGAGGUCUCGUAGGGCCUCACCUACCAAAACAUGUAAUUGUGUGGGACAAUUUCCAUUGUGGCCCGCUCAUCAGAGCCUGAUUCACUACUCAUCCAAGGAUGGUCAUGGUGUUCCCACCACCUUACUCUCCUUUCCUCAAUCCUAUUGAGGAGUUUUUUUCCGCUUGGAGGUGGAGAGUGUAUGAGCAUCAGGCUCAAAAUCAGAGGUCCUAGCUCCAUGCAAUGGACGCUGUGUGUAAUGAUAUUACAGGAGAUCAGUACGGGGGAUGGUUGCGACAUGCAAGCCGUUUCUUCCCUCGUUGCAUCGCAAGGGAGAAUAUACGCUGUGAUGUGGACGAGAAUCUGUGGCCAGACAGACGGCAGUGGAUGGCCAGGAGGGUGAGGAUGAUGGCCAGGAGAGGGAGGGUGAGGACAGCGACCAGUGAAGAAAUGUUAGUUUUGAAUCUCCGGCUUUAUUUACAGCACUGUAGGCUACAUAUAAUUUUCCUUGUUUUUUUGUGUGUAUGUGUUUAUAUUACAGUAUAUUGUGCUGUAUACAUUUUCUUUUAACUCUGAUGUAUGGAAGUUACUUAAUGUGUGUGAAUAAAAAUGGUUACAAUUUCCUUGACAGUAUGAGUGCAACGUGUGAAGUCAAACCAUGGAGGGUACUCUUACCGUAAAGAAACUUUUUUCAGUUUUAUACACAAUUGUAUUCUGUUAGCUAACAAAAAAAAAGUACAGUAACAAUUGGGAAUGAAGGACUGGACUAAAACUGAGAGGUGGACAUAAGGGAUAUUUCAAUGGUCCUCUGCCAUAGCGACAAAACAUCUAACCAUUUUGACUUGCAGUGCUCACAUAAUGCCAAAGGGACAAUGCAUUUUGGGGGCACUGACUGUUUAUAUGAGAAAGAAAUUUAGUUUUGAUACAUGAGUGAACUGUUUUGGGAGAGAUAUGAGCUUUUGGAGGUGAACCAUGGUGUUGUGCUGAACUGUAGGACUGUUCUGCCAAAUGAUCUUAGAGUUUCGAGAAUGUAAUUUCUGUUUGAAUUUCCCUGCUUUGCUACUCUUGUCUCGUCUGUCUGCUGUCUAUACUUUUGAGAGACUCUCUCUGCACUGCUCUCCAAACUACAAAAAACAUGGAUUUGAUUAACUGGUCUAUCAACGCUAUUGACACAAUUUUUUUUGAGAAGAAGCCUGGGUUCGGGGGAGCCGGACUGUCCUGCCGUAACGUUCGCAGCUGGCUACACGAUGGACGCAUGGGAGAGGUGGCGGGUCGUUUGUCUGGCGGCUCUUUCCAUGGCGGACAUUGAAGACAUCUAUCUAUUCGGAACCAUGAUCACAGGUCUUUUGCUGAUUGGAUUAGGCAAUACCCUGAUGUAUCGAGGAAUUCAAAAAAUGGUGACAGCUGUCCAAACCCCCAUAAAGCUGCUCGAAAUGAUUGGAGCGAUGGGCAGAGCUGUUGGCACUCAGACUGUGGCUAUUCAGAACUUGAACCACAACAUGGAUAACAUCUUGGAGAAGCUUUCGGCUUUGCAAAGGGAAAUGGAACGAUUCAGAAUCCAGAAUGGACAAAUAGUGUAGUCCUGCAAAAGAAUGCGUCUACUCGCACCGAGACCAAACAAUCCCAAUCUAAUCUGGUUUUGGCGCCCUCACACAGCACUGGCCUCGGCCAAGGCCGCUGCUGGAACAACAACUCCCCUGAAGAUCACUGCAGUGAGACUCUCUUGUAUUCCUCACCCCAACUCCCACGGACACCUGCUGAUAGUUGACUCUGUUUGGGACCCAAUCAAGGUUGUCUCUGAACUGAGGCACCAAGAUUGUAAUCCUAGGCGAAGCGGCUCUCCAGGCCUACACAGACACACACAUAUGGACAGAUAUGCAAUCACACCCCCUACCCCCACAUCCAAUGCCUUUGCGCUUUUACCCCCUGGUGUAACAAGCGGGUCCACGACCAGCACCCGGUGGACUGCAGGAACGGAUGGCUGCUUGGUUGGACUGGGUUUUACCUCUACCCCCUACCCCUCUCCCUGAUGCAAGUCCUGAGUUUUUCAUGUUUGUAAAGUGUACUUAUUAUGUGCUUAUGUUGCUGAGGUUUUUUCAUGUUCCCACACUGUACACCUCACAGGAGCAUAGUAUGGGGGUUGUUGUUUUUUCUCCUUCCCUCUCCUCACGUGACUCUGUAUUUCUAUUUUCCAUCUCUGUCUUCCUGUCCUGUCUACCCCCAUUUUGUCAAAGUGCAUGUAUGUUUUGUAUACGUAUGGACAGGUUGGUGGCUAAUUUCGCUGGUACUUGUACUAGUGACAAUAAAAGGAUCAUAUCAU